UUGACAGGCCUGCUGCACAACUGGGUAAAACAUGAAUUACAAUCAGACAAGCCAAGGCCUCAGGAGAUGUCAGAUGAAUUCCUACUUGAAAAUUGCAUUUGGCAGGAGAGCUAAAAUUGGACCAGCUGCAGACGCUGAGAGGAACACCUAGCUUUGGGGCAACCAAACACUUUACUAUCACUUGACACCGUUUGCAUAUCUCCACCUGAAAAUAAAAUAGACGACAACAACAACAUGACAACACCACUAUGGGCACGACCAGUAAAACUACUUGAAUUUCCACUGGGAGAGCUUUAAGAUGUGCUUAACUCUACUAUCAAUCUCAACAACAACAAAAACACACACAGUCUCUUCAAGACCCGAUGUGAUAUGCUUCUUGGAGAGAAUAACACUUCCUAUAAACAAUACAGGCACAAAGGGCACAAUUAUUUUGUAUCCAAAAUCAAUGCCAAGAAAUCUCUUGAACACAAAGGAAAUAUGGAUAAAUCCCAAAGUCACUUCCAGGGUUAUGUUUCCUGCAUCAAAAACACUCAUCUGUAUGACAAGGGGCGGGAAUCAUUUCAAGCAGAGCAAUGGAUUCCCCCAUCAAGACAUCCAAUGGAUCUCAUUAACAGCAUCCCUCCUCCA